rnacentral:tRNA from 1 species
AAAGCCUUAAGUUAAUAUUAAACUACUAACCUUCAAAGUUAGAAACAUGGCUAGGACAUAGGCUUUA